rnacentral:rRNA from 1 species
CCUACGGGAGGCAGCAGUGAGGAAUAUUGGUCAAUGGCCGGAAGUCUGAACCAGCCAAGCCGCGUGAGGGAGGACGGCGCAGAGAGUCGUAAACCGCUUUUGUCCAGGGGCAAAAGUCAAUACGUGUACUGUGCUGAGAGUACCGUGAGAAUAAGGAUCGGCUAACUCCGUGCCAGCAGCCGCGGUAAUACGGAGGAUGCAAGCGUUAUCCGGAUUUAUUGGGUUUAAAGGGUGCGUAGGCGGGUCCAUAAGUUAGCGGUGAAAUGUCCGGGCUUAACUCGGGCAGUGCCUCUAAUACUGGUGGUCUUGAGUGUAGAUGCGGUAGGCGGAAUGUGUGGUGUAGCGGUGAAAUGCUUAGAGAUCAUACAGAACACCGAUUGCGAAGGCAGCGUGCCAUUCCAUAUCUGACGUUGAGGCACGAAAGCGCGGGGAGCGAACAGGAUUAGAUACCCGAGUAGUC